UACGUAGGGGGCAAGCGUUGUCCGGAAUCAUUGGGCGUAAAGAGCGUGUAGGCGGUCCGGUAAGUCGGCUGUGAAAGUCCAAGGCUCAACCUUGGGAUGCCGGUGGAUACUGCUGGGCUAGAGUACGGAAGAGGCGAGUGGAAUUCCCGGUGUAGCGGUGAAAUGCGCAGAUAUCGGGAGGAACACCAAUUGCGAAGGCAGCUCGCUGGGACGUUACUGACGCUGAGACGCGAAAGCGUGGGGAGCAAACAGG
rnacentral:rRNA from 1 species